GAGUUUGAUCUUGGCUCAGAUUGAACGCUGGCGGCAUGCCUUACACAUGCAAGUCGAACGGCAGCACGGGAGCUUGCUCCUGGUGGCGAGUGGCGAACGGGUGAGUAAUGCAUCGGAACGUAUCCUGGAGUGGGGGAUAACGUAGCGACAGUUACGCUAAUACCGCAUAUUCUGUGAGCAGGAAAGCGGGGGACCUUCGGGCCUCGCGCUCUUGGAGCGGCCGAUGUCGGAUUAGCUAGUUGGUGAGGUAAAGGCUCACCAAGGCGACGAUCCGUAGCAGGUCUGAGAGGAUGAUCUGCCACACUGGAACUGAGACACGGUCCAGACUCCUACGGGAGGCAGCAGUGGGGAAUUUUGGACAAUGGGGGCAACCCUGAUCCAGCCAUGCCGCGUGAGUGAAGAAGGCCUCGGUU
rnacentral:rRNA from 1 species